AUGCUCACGAAGGUGGUUUUCCCAGGACAGGAUGUGAUAGCCCCUGAGAUUUUCCCAGUGUGGGAAACUCAACUGCAUUAUUUGUGGUAGUGGGGGACUGCAUUCACGCUCUCCCGAA
rnacentral:snRNA from 1 species